GACGAACGCUGGCGGCAUGCCUAAUACAUGCAAGUCGAGCGAACGGAUGAAGUGCUUGCACUUCUGACGUUAGCGGCGAACGGGUGAGUAACACGUAAGGAAUCUACCUAUAAGCGGGGGAUAACAUUCGGAAACGGGUGCUAAUACCGCAUAAUAUCUUCUUCCGCAUGGAAGAAGAUUGAAAGACGGCUCUGCUGUCACUUAUAGAUGACCUUGCGGUGCAUUAGUUAGUUGGUGGGGUAACGGCCUACCAAGACGAUGAUGCAUAGCCGGCCGGAGAGGGUGAUCGGCCACAUUGGGACUGAGACACGGCCCAAACGCCUACGGGAGGCAGCAGUAGGGAAUCUUCCGCAAUGGGCGAAAGCCUGACGGAGCAAUGCCGCGUGAGUGAAGAAGGCCUUCGGGUCGUAAAACUCUGUUAUAAGAGAAGAACAAAUUGUAGAGUAACUGCUACAGUCUUGACGGUAUCUUAUCAGAAAGCCACGGCUAACUACGUGCCAGCAGCCGCCGCAG
rnacentral:rRNA from 1 species